rnacentral:lncRNA from 1 species
UCUUUUUUCUUUUCUGGCAGGUGCAGAAAAUGCUUUUAAAGUGAGACUUAGUAUCAGAACAGCUCUGGGAGAUAAAGCAUAUGCCUGGGAUACCAAUGAAGAAUACCUCUUCAAGCGAUGGUAGCUUUCUCCAUGAGAAAAGUUCCCAACAGAGAAGCAACAGAAAUUUCCCAUGUCCUACUUUGCAAUGUAACCCAGAGGGUAUCAUUCUGGUUUGUGGUUACAGACCCUUCAAAAAAUCACACCCUUCCUGCUGUUGAGGUGCAAUCAGCCAUAAG